rnacentral:lncRNA from 1 species
UUGCCAGAUGCUAAAUAAGCCUAGAGUGACUGGAACUUCUGAACUUUGGGAACGGGAAAAUCAGGGACUGCACAGUUUCGAAAGCACUUCAACUAAAUUUAUUGCUGGGGAAAAGCAGUGGUGAUGUCAUUUGGAACCAAAUAGGGCCACUGAAGAAGAAUGGUUGGAUCAGGCCUAGAGCAGGUGUGAAGAAAAAUGACAGUCCUGAUUUCUAACUUCACCUAAGCUUAGAGACCAUUUCUUCCCUUAGAAACAAGAAACCACUCACCAGGUGGAUUUUCUAAGCCCUAUGUUAAGAGGGAAAUAACCACAAACAAAUUGUACCAAACAUUUCUGACAAAUGGAUGGCUCUAGCCCCCGAGGUACGUAGGAAGGGAAGGGAGAGAUAAAAAUGGACACAAAAGUAGAAAGCUACCCAAAAUGAGUAAUGAAGAAUAAAAGCAAUCUGAAAAGAACACCUGCUGGACUGACAACAGAAGAGGAACAGGAGAGCAAAGUAAGAUAAAUGCUCAUCUUGGAGAUACGUAAGAUCGAAAGAAGGGAAGAAGAGGCAGAACUUGAGAAGAUCCAACCAGUCUGUCAAAGGAGUAACAAAUUUGCAAAGUGGAACCUGAGUGGCCAAAAAUGCAGCCCUGCAGCUCCCACACUCAGCUUGAACUGGCCGUGACGAUGUGAGCAGGAUCAAGAAGAAAACUGCUAAUCCGGAGACUACCUUUAGAAAUACUUGCUAAGGCAAAGGAGGAAUCGAAUUUUUGAAACAGCUGUCUUAGGGUCUCAGAGUUCACUAUUGCAAUAGACAUAAAAUAGACUAUGAGAAAGGUACAAGCAACUAACAUUCAACAUUAGAAAUCGACACAUUUGUCGAGUACCUGCUGUGCGCC